rnacentral:rRNA from 1 species
AACGAGACCUUAACCUGCUAAAUAGCCCGUAUUGCUUUGGCAGUACGCCGGCUUCUUAGAGGGACUAUCGGCUCAAGCCGAUGGAAGUUUGAGGCAAUAACAGGUUAACCGUCACAGGCCUGUAACAGUAGAGCCUUAUAAUCUGCUAGUUGCUGUCUUUACCUCUCUGGGGGGAGCCCCUCGAUAUCGGGGAGAGGAG